GACGAACCGUGCGAACGUUGUUCGGAAUCACUGGGCUUAAAGGGCGCGUAGGCGGCCCGCCGCGUCCGGGGUGAAAUCCUCCCGCUCAACGGGAGGACGGCCUCGGAUACGGGCGGGCUGGAGGGGGGUAGGGGCACGCGGAACUGUGGGUGGAGCGGUGAAAUGCUUAGAGAUGACAUAGAACACCAAUUGCGUAGGCAGCUUACUACACGAAUAUUGACGCUGAGGCACGAAGGUCAGGGGAGCAAACGGG
rnacentral:rRNA from 1 species